rnacentral:rRNA from 1 species
GACGAACGCUGGCGGCGUGCUUAACACAUGCAAGUCGAACGGAAAGGCCCUGCUUUUGUGGGGUGCUCGAGUGGCGAACGGGUGAGUAACACGUGAGUAACCUGCCCUUGACUUUGGGAUAACUUCAGGGAACUGGGGCUAAUACCGGAUAGGAGCUCCUGCUGCAUGGUGGGGGUUGGAAAGUUUCGGCGGUUGGGGAUGGACUCGCGGCUUAUCAGCUUGUUGGUGGGGUAGUGGCUUACCAAGGCUUUGACGGGUAGCCGGCCUGAGAGGGUGACCGGCCACAUUGGGACUGAGAUACGGCCCAGACUCCUACGGGAGGCAGCAGUGGGGAAUAUUGCACCAUGGGCGGAAGCCUGAUGCAGCAACGCCGCGUGCGGGAUGACGGCCUUCGGGUUGUAAACCGCUUUCGCCUGUGACGAAGCGUGAGUGACGGUAAUGGGUAAAGAAGCACCGGCUAACUACGUG